rnacentral:rRNA from 1 species
GCAGUCGAGCGGAUGACGGGAGCUUGCUCCUUGAUUCAGCGGCGGACGGGUGAGUAAUGCCUAGGAAUCUGCCUGGUAGUGGGGGACAACGUUUCGAAAGGAACGCUAAUACCGCAUACGUCCUACGGGAGAAAGCAGGGGACCUUCGGGCCUUGCGCUAUCAGAUGAGCCUAGGUCGGAUUAGCUAGUUGGUGAGGUAAUGGCUCACCAAGGCGACGAUCCGUAACUGGUCUGAGAGGAUGAUCAGUCACACUGGAACUGAGACACGGUCCAGACUCCUACGGGAGGCAGCAGUGGGGAAUAUUGGACAAUGGGCGAAAGCCUGAUCCAGCCAUGCCGCGUGUGUGAAGAAGGUCUUCGGAUUGUAAAGCACUUUAAG